ensembl:misc_RNA Metazoa_SRP Metazoan signal recognition particle RNA
GCCAGGCGUGGUGGUGGGUGCCUGUAAUCCCAGCUACUUGGGAGGCUGAGGCAGGAGAAUCGCUUGAACCCAGGAGGCUGAGGUUGCAGUGAGCCAAAAUCACACCACUGCACUCCAGCCUGGGUAACAGAGUGAGACUCUGUAUUAA